rnacentral:lncRNA from 1 species
AAGUCACUAAUUUACUUCACAAGUUACCAAACUAAACUUAAUUCAAAAUGAAAAGUUCACAUUUCAAGUACCUACUCUUAAACAUUUUCAAGUCACUAAUUCACUUUUCAAGUGACAACACUUUACUAAAUUCAAAACAAAAAUUCACAUUUCAAGUAUCUACAUUUAAACAUUUUCAAGUCACUAAGUCAUUUCUCAAGUGACCACACUUUACUAAAAUCAAAAUACAAGUUCACAUUUCAAGUACCUAAAUUCAAAACAAAAGUCACUAAUUCAUAAUUCAAGUAAGUACACUUAAACAUGUCAAGUCACUAAUUCACUUCACAAGUUACCAACCUUUACUAAAUUCUACAUAAAAGUUCACAUUUCAAGUACCUACACCUAAACAUUUUCAAGUCACUAAGUCACUUCACAAGUUACCAAACUAAACUAAAUUCAAAAUGAAAAGUUCACAUUUCAAGUACCUACACCUAAACAUUUUCAAGUCACUAAGUCACUUCACAAGUUACCAAACUAAACUAAAUUCAAAAUAAAAAGUUCACAUUUCAAGUACCUA